AUUGAACGCUGGCGGCAGGCCUAACACAUGCAAGUCGAACGGUAGCACAGAGAGCUUGCUCUCGGGUGACGAGUGGCGGACGGGUGAGUAAAGUCUGGGAAACUGCCCGAUGGAGGGGAUAACUACUGGAAACGGUAGCUAAUACCGCAUAACGUCGCAAGACCAAAGUGGGGGACCUUCGGGCCUCACACCAUCGGAUGUGCCCAGAUGGGAUUAGCUAGUAGGUGGGGUAAUGGCUCACCUAGGCGACGAUCCCUAGCUGGUCUGAGAGGAUGACCAGCCACACUGGAACUGAGACACGGUCCAGACUCCUACGGGAGGCAGCAGUGGGGAAUAUUGCACAAUGGGCGCAAGCCUGAUGCAGCCAUGCCGCGUGUAUGAAGAAGGCCUUCGGGUUGUAAAGUACUUUCAGCGGGGAGGAAGGCGGUGAAGUUAAUAACUUCACCGAUUGACGUUACCCGCAGAAGAAGCACCGGCUAACUCCGUGCCAGCCGCCGCAGUAA
rnacentral:rRNA from 1 species